AUACGUAGGGUGCAAGCGUUAAUCGGAAUUACUGGGCGUAAAGCGUGCGCAGGCGGUUUUGUAAGACAGUGGUGAAAUCCCCGGGCUCAACCUGGGAACUGCCAUUGUGACUGCAAGGCUGGAGUGCGGCAGAGGGGGAUGGAAUUUCGCGUGUAGCAGUGAAAUGCGUAGAUAUGCGGAGGAACACCGAUGGCGAAGGCAAUCCCCUGGGCCUGCACUGACGCUCAUGCACGAAAGCGUGGGGAGCAAACAGGAUUAGAUACCCUGGUAGUCCACGCCCUAAACGAUGUCAACUGGUUGUUGGGGAUUUAUUUUCUCAGUAACGAAGCUAACGCGUGAAGUUGACCGCCUGGGGAGUACGGCCGCAAGGUUAAAACUCAAAGGAAUUGACGGGG
rnacentral:rRNA from 1 species